GACAGAGGUGCCGGGCGUUAGGCGGAAUCACUGGGCUUAAAGCGUGUGUAGGCGGAUCGUUAAGUACCUUGUGAAAUCCCAUGGCUCAACCAUGGAACUGCUUGGUAUACUGGCGGUCUUGAGCCAGCUAGGGGCUACCGGAACAAAUGGUGGAGCGGUGAAAUGCGUAGAUAUCAUUUGGAACGCCAAUGGUGAAAACAGGUAGCUGGGGCUGUGCUGACGCUGAGACACGAAAGCCAGGGGAGCGAACGGG
rnacentral:rRNA from 1 species